rnacentral:rRNA from 1 species
GCGUAAGAACUUGCCUCUUAGACCGGGACAACAUCUGGAAACGGAUGCUAAUACCGGAUAUUAUGGUUUCUUCGCAUGGAGGAAUCAUGAAAGCUACAUGCGCUAAGAGAGAGCUUUGCGUCCCAUUAGCUCGUUGGUGAGGUAACGGCCCACCAAGGCAAUGAUGGGUAGCCGGCCUGAGAGGGUGAACGGCCACAAGGGGACUGAGACACGGCCCUUACUCCUACGGGAGGCAGCAGUGGGGAAUAUUGGACAAUGGACCACAAGUCUGAUCCAGCAAUUCUGUGUGCACGAUGACGUUUUUCGGAAUGUAAAGUGCUUUCAGUCGGGAAGAAGUCAGUGACGGUACCGACAGAAGAAGCGACGGCUAAAUACGUGCCAGCAGCCGCGGUAAUACGUAUGUCGCAAGCGUUAUCCGGAUUUAUUGGGCGUAAAGCGCGUCUAGGCGGCAAGGAAAGUCUGAUGUGAAAAUGCGGAGCUCAACUCCGUAUGGCGUUGGAAACUGCCUUACUAGAGUACUGGAGAGGUAGGCGGAACUACAAGUGUAGAGGUGAAAUUCGUAGAUAUUUGUAGGAAUGCCGAUGGGGGAGCCAGCCUACUGGACAGAUACUGACGCUAAAGCGCGAAAGCGUGGGUAGC